CCAAUCUACUUCGAGUGUAAACUAAACGAGCCAAUGCACAUUGGCAUGCAAUUAUUGCAUCCAGCUGCCGCUGAUCACAGCGUGAGUAUAAGAAGGCAGCAGGUGCAAUGCAUACCAGCUUUUUGCUUCGAAGCCGAGCGAGAGUAUCGUUCCGCUUACCUUAACUGUCGACGUGAACUGCGAGUUCAGCACGCUCUGGAAAGCUUUCUGUGUUGGCGAGACGGCGUUUCAGCGGCGGUCGUUCCAGCGUCGAGUGGUUUGCACACUUCAGGCUGCACUACCCCCUGUCGUGUUGCAAGCGGCCAGCUCCCCUGUGCGCCUCAGCACCAAAAGAGUAUUUCCUGAGCGAAUUUCCUCUAAAAGAGCUCCACGGGUGCGUCUUUAUAAAGACGACGGAUCGUCCUUAUAAGGAUGCCGUUUCACCCGUGCGUUUCUGGAUGCGGUCGUUACCUGGCACCGGGUGAUGGUCACGAUCGCUGCCUCACGUGUCUGGGCGUUAAGCACGCUGAGGUGGCUUUCGUGGACGAGGGGGUUGGAGUCCCGUUGCCGCUGCUGCGAUCUGGGGCUCGUUCUGGCGGCCGACAGACGAGAACCACUUCCGGUAGUAGCACGGGCGGUUUGAGGGUUACAGUGGUGGCAAACCCCGCAGGGAACCAACCCUCUGGGGACCACCGCUCCUCUUGCACCUCUGAUCCAGUGGAGCAACCCACGGAACGCGCUGGGCCCUCUACAAGGAGCGUACCAGUGGUAUCCAGUGGGCCUCCCCCCGACCGGAUGUCGAUCUCAGCAUCGGAGGGAGAGCUGUCGGAUGAAGAUUCGGCUGCGCUGCCGCCCUCAGGGACGGUGGCAAAGCCUGAGUCGGAUCCCGAAAUGGCAGCUAUGCUUUCCCGGGCCGCCGAGAUGGUAGGGCUCGAGUGGAAUCCUCCACCGCGUCCCGAGCCAUCGAGGCUGGAUGAUUGGUAUCUCGGGGUGGCACGUGCUGGUUCUCAGCGCCCCGCCCCAGUGCCUUUCUUCCCGGAAGUGCAUGAUGAGCUCACAAAGUCGUGGACGGCACCUUUUACUGCCAGAAACCGGCCAGUGGGCUCCUCCUCCCUCACCACCCUUGAUGGCGGUGCAGCGAAGGGGUAUUCGGCAAUCCCGUCAGUGGAGCGGGCGGUAGCGAUGCAAUUGUGUCCUAAGUCCGCCUCCUCCUGGCGCGGAGACCCGGUGCUUCCUUCCCGGGCCUGUAGGCACUCGUCUGGUCUGACCGGCAGUGCCUAUGCGGCUUGCGGGGAAGCUGCUUCCGCCUUACACGCCAUGGCGUUACUGCAGGUGCACCAGGCUAAGGCACUGAAGGACCUGCACGAGGGUGGUCACGAUCCAGAAGUUCUGAAAGAGCUUCGAACCGCCACUGACCUCGCGCUCCGAGCGACGAAGGUCACCGCGAGUUCCCUGGGUCGUGCGAUGUCCACGCUUGUGGUCCAGGAGCGCCAUCUCUGGCUGUGUCUGGCAGACAUGAGGGACACCGACAAGGUCCGGUUCCUCAAUGCCCCUGUGUCCCAGACCGGCCUCUUCGGCGACGCGGUUGAGAGCUUUGCCCAGCAGUUCUCGGCCGCCCAGAAGCAGACUGAGGCGAUCCGACACAUCCUGCCCCGGCGGGCAGCUGCUGCCUCCACCCGUCCGCCGGCCGCAGCACCCCAGCCUGCUCGUCGCCGAGGGCGGGCCCCCGCGUCCCGUUAUACACAUCUCUGAGCGGGCUGGCAAGGAUUGUACCCAAGAAAGGCGGUGGGUUACGACCGAUCUUGGAUCUGCGAGUUUUGAACCGGGCCCUUCAUCGGCUACCGUUCAAGAUGUUGACGCAGAAACGCAUCUUCGGGUGCGUCCGUCCCCGAGAUUGGUUUGCAGCGAUCGACCUGAAGGACGCGUACUUCAUGUGUUGAUCCUUCCGCGCCACAGACCUU
rnacentral:lncRNA from 1 species